UGGAGGAGGAGCAGCCUUAAGGAAGAGGGAGUAAGAGGAUCAUGAAGAAGAAGGAUCCUGGGCAGAGAGACUCAAUGCUGUGAGGAUAAAAAAAGAAAAAAAACAACCUCCUGUAGAAAGUCCUGCAUAGUUUCUAUGCUCUGAAGAAUACAAAAUCCUUGACAAGGUGUAGCUACAGAAAGAUAGAAAAUUGAUCAUAGGAACAGAACACAUUCUGGAUUUUCUUCUGAUGCACAGACUAUACUGAUUGAAGUAUUGAAUCCUUUUGCAACACCGCCUUCCUGUAAAUAUCCUGUUUCAACAGAUUGCCAAAAGAAACUGUGAGAGACUUCAAAGAACUCCUAUCCUCAAAAGAGGCAGAGUGGUAUCACUGGAUCAGAGGAGAAGGAACCUUGAACCUAGUAA